UCCGCCUGUACGCGUCACCCUGAUGCGAUCUCAGUGUACCGAAAUUAUCGCGCGCUCCGCGGUAUCCGUAACCAUCGGGAAAUUGAAAUAGCGUCUCCGCUGGCGUCGGCGGUGGUUUCCUCAUCGUACCCUUUGGCGAAUGUAACUUUGGAGGCUGCGGUACCAGCACCGGCUCCGCGUACGUCACUUCCUCUUGUGGCAAUAACUUCGGCUCUGGUGCUAGCCUGCUGCGAGUCAAAAGUUAGGAUUACAUGGACGGAGUUGAAGGGGGAGAGCGAGAGGAACACUCCAAGACAGAUGCAAGCUGGGUGCGAUAGGGAACGAGGAAUUUUACGUUCGCGACGAAAUGAGCGACUCGAAUGCGAGCCUCUUGAAUUGAGGAUGCGAGUAUUCCAUCCCCGUCGUUGAGCCCGGCAACGGUUCUCGCAAAAAUUUGACCCACGGUUUGGAGGAUCGAUAAAUCGUACGA